UACGAAGGGUGCAAGCGUUACUCGGAAUUACUGGGCGUAAAGCGUGCGCAGGCGGCGCGUUAAGACAGGUGUGAAAGCCCCGAGCUUAACUUGGGAAUUGCGCUUGUGACUGGCGGGCUGGAGUGUGGCAGAGGGAGGUGGAAUUCCACGUGUAGCAGUGAAAUGCGUAGAGAUGUGGAGGAACACCGAUGGCGAAGGCAGCCUCCUGGGCCAGCACUGACGCUCAUGCACGAAAGCGUGGGGAGCAAACAGG
rnacentral:rRNA from 1 species